rnacentral:rRNA from 1 species
CCUACGGGUGGCAGCAGUGGGGAAUAUUGCACAAUGGGCGCAAGCCUGAUGCAGCCAUGCCGCGUGUGUGAAGAAGGCCUUCGGGUUGUAAAGCACUUUCAGCGGGGAGGAAGGCGGUGAGGUUAAUAACCUCAUCGAUUGACGUUACCCGCAGAAGAAGCACCGGCUAACUCCGUGCCAGCAGCCGCGGUAAUACGGAGGGUGCAAGCGUUAAUCGGAAUUACUGGGCGUAAAGCGCACGCAGGCGGUCUGUCAAGUCGGAUGUGAAAUCCCCGGGCUCAACCUGGGAACUGCAUUCGAAAAUGGCAGGCUAGAGUCUUGUAGAGGGGGGUAGAAUUCCAGGUGUAGCGGUGAAAUGCGUAGAGAUCUGGAGGAAUACCGGUGGCGAAGGCGGCCCCCUGGACAAAGACUGACGCUCAGGUGCGAAAGCGUGGGGAGCAAACAGGAUUAGAUACCCGUGUAGUC